CAGGAUGAACGCUGGCGGCGUGCUUAACACAUGCAAGUCGAACGAUGACUUCUGUGCUUGCACAGAAUGAUUAGUGGCGAACGGGUGAGUAACACGUGAGUAACCUGCCCUUGACUUCGGGAUAAGCCUGGGAAACCGGGUCUAAUACCGGAUACGACCUCCUGGCGCAUGCCAUGGGGGUGGAAAGCUUUAUUGCGGUUUUGGAUGGACUCGCGGCCUAUCAGCUUGUUGGUUGGGGUAAUGGCCCACCAAGGCGACGACGGGUAGCCGGCCUGAGAGGGUGACCGGCCACACUGGGACUGAGACACGGCCCAGACUCCUACGGGAGGCAGCAGUGGGGAAUAUUGCACAAUGGGCGAAAGCCUGAUGCAGCGACGCCGCGUGAGGGAUGACGGCCUUCGGGUUGUAAACCUCUUUCAGCAGGGAAGAAGCGAAAGUGACGGUACCUGCAGAAGAAG
rnacentral:rRNA from 1 species